UUGGGGAACCACAAGGCAAGGCAAACAAAAUGCCACUGGCCCCAAGCCUGGGGGCUGUGAGCAAAAGCCAAGCUCACACAACCAUUCAGCUAAGCGCCUACUCUGUCCUGGCCACCGGGUAACCAUCCAUAACGCUUCUGAGCUCCUGACCCAAGGGGCGGCCUCAGAGCACCUAUUCAGGAUAAGGGGGUGCGCCAAGCCCCAAGCUGCACUGCUGCCUCGUCUGCCGGCUGCCUUGUUCCCUCUGAGGGCUGGCUGCACUCUGCAUUUCUUACUUCUGCUGGGUUUGGGAGUGCAGGAUUCUGUCGUCACAUCUAAGAGGACUCAGCUCCUGCCUCCAUAAGAAAGGCACAGUGAAGAGGGGGCUGGGUCACCUCGAGGGCCAUGAGCCCAGAGGCCCAGGCCCUGGCGGCUUUGUCUAGGGCUGUGGACUGGAGUCUGCCUGGUGUUUAAAAACCACCUUGCCCCUCGGGCCCUGUGUCCCGUUUCAAGGCAUGCCAUGGGGAAUGUCAGGCCCUUAUUAAAUA